AGGCAGAACUGGGAUGAGUUACACCGUCAAACAUACCACAUGAAGCAUCAUCUCAAAUGGAUUUCCAGUGAAUUAAGAAAAACUUGGAUAUAAUAUUUCUUGUAUUUCCACUGAGCUCAUAAAAGCCCAGGUUUUAGUCUGAAAACAUUGCAGAUAGUAAGACAGUCAGAACUGAACUGACUGCCUAAGGAUUGCACUGAGCUCUGCCAGUACGGGCACAGGGUGGAAAAUGCAUGCACU
rnacentral:lncRNA from 1 species